UACGUAGGGUGCGAGCGUUAAUCGGAAUUACUGGGCGUAAAGCGUGCGCAGGCGGCUUUGCAAGACAGAUGUGAAAUCCCCGGGCUCAACCUGGGAACUGCAUUUGUGACUGCAAGGCUGGAGUACGGCAGAGGGGGAUGGAAUUCCGCGUGUAGCAGUGAAAUGCGUAGAUAUGCGGAGGAACACCGAUGGCGAAGGCAAUCCCCUGGGCCUGUACUGACGCUCAUGCACGAAAGCGUGGGGAGCAAACAGG
rnacentral:ncRNA from 2 species